AGCUGCAGAGCAUCAGCUCAUCAGCCGGUCCGGUGUGUUUAAGCAGCUGAGAGACGCCAUCACUUCGCUGGAUGAUUACUCUAUCUGGGUCCUUCAUUUAACAGCCACUUGAGAAUUAAAAUCCUCCACUCCCAUCUCUGACUGACUGAACUUUGGAUUAUCUCUACACACUGCUCGUCUCGCAGCCCGUUCCUGACCAUCCACCUCCUGCUGCCCCACCAAGACCCACCUGGAUCUGUACUACCGCAAGAAUCGGCUCCCUUAACCUCCAACCCUGGAUUCCUACUCCCUGUAAGUCCCUCCAACCCAGACCAGACCACCGUCCCUCCUCACUCGAGCCAUUACGCUACCAAGACUAUACCCGCACCAGAUCCCUGUCGGAAGAACUCGGCGAAUUUUGCUGCUCCUUUAGUUUCUCCCUUAAAGUUUAAAACUUUCGCCCUUGUCUG